rnacentral:tRNA from 1 species
CCCCUAGAGGUCCAGUGGUCAGGACUUGGUGCUUUCACUGCCAAUGGUCUGGGUUCAAUCCCUGGCUGGGGAA